AGCGAACGCUGGCGGCAGGCCUAACACAUGCAAGUCGAACGAACUCUUCGGAGUUAGUGGCGGACGGGUGAGUAACACGUGGGAACGUGCCUUUUGGUUCGGAAUAACUCAGGGAAACUUGUGCUAAUACCGAAUGUGCCCUUCGGGGGAAAGAUUUAUCGCCAUUAGAGCGGCCCGCGUCUGAUUAGCUAGUUGGUGAGGUAACGGCUCACCAAGGCGACGAUCAGUAGCUGGUCUGAGAGGAUGACCAGCCACACUGGGACUGAGACACGGCCCAGACUCCUACGGGAGGAAGCAGUGGGGAAUCUUGCGCAAUGGGCGAAAGCCUGACGCAGCCAUGCCGCGUGAAUGAUGAAGGUCUUAGGAUUGUAAAAUUCUUUCAACGGGGACGAUAAUGACGGUACCCGGAGAAGAAGCCCCGGCUAACUUCGUG
rnacentral:rRNA from 1 species